rnacentral:lncRNA from 1 species
AUGCCUGCUAAUUAUGACCUCUUUAUUUGGACCUGUUCAGAUCCAUCCAUACGCUUAGAAAAUAAAAGAGAUUUAUAUAUGUUUCUAGCUCUUCAUAUGGAAAACUCUCCAUAUUGUGUUGCCCCAUCUGAGGAGUUCAAUAAGACUGGGAUUGUAGUAUGUGGGUCAGACAGAGUACUCAAAGUGAUAGCUAUGAGUUGCUCCAAAGUUGGCGUUCAUGCUGUACAACAAAUGUUUCUGAAUCCUCCUUCUUUAAGUAACUGUACUGUGUAUCUGUCCAGGAAACCAUGCACAACUUGUACCACAUUCCUCAUUCAAGGUGCAAUUUCUUCAGUCUAUUACUGGCCGAGGGCCCCUGAAAGAAAGGGAGAUGAUUCAGAAAUUAAGGAAGAUAUUCAGCAAGCUGACCAUAUGUUUCUUAGGAGCCAUAUCAAUAGCAGUGUGCUCUUACCCAUGACAAUCUUUGAAAUGGUGAAAAAGAUUGCAAAAAAAGUACAAUGCAAUGGGGACCCCAACAGGAGUUUUGAGAUACCCCAAAAUUUUGAAAAAUAUUGUUCAUGGUUUAACAUGAAUAUCUGCCAAGAUGCAUAUCUCAAACGGAUGAAAAAUGCUUUACGUUGCUAUAAUCUUUUACUGGGAACUCUCCAACCUGAGAGGAAAAGUCAUAAUGAAAAUAUUCAUCGACAUGCAUUGCAGCUUUGUUAUUUUCAAGCGUCAAGAUCUGUUUGGGACAGGCUAUAA